rnacentral:rRNA from 1 species
AGAUAAAAAUUAAUUAGGAAAAUAUUUAAUAAAAAUAAUUUUAAAUUUUGAAAAUUAAUAUAUUUUAAUUGGGGGGUUAAAGUAUAAUUAAUAGAAAAAAUUAAAAAUUUUAUAGGGGAUUAGUAUUGUGAAAGAAUUUUGAAAUAUAUGAAAAUAAAUUUAUUUAUAAGUAAUUUUAAUUUAAUGUAUCUUGUGUAUCAGAGUUUAUUAAAUAAAAUUUUUUGUUAAAAGAAAUUCUCGAAUUUAAGAGAGAUAAUUAAUUAUUAAAGUUAUUGUUGUAUAAAUAUUUUAAAUAAUUAAUUUGAAAUGAAAUGUUAAUCGUUCUUAAAAAUAUCUAGUUUUUUCAGAAAAAAGUUUAAUUUUAAAUUUAUUAAAAUUAUUAAUAUUAAUUAUAUUUAAUAAAAUAUUUAAUAAAUUUUAUAUUUUAAGGGAUAAGCUUUAAAUUAAAUUAAAUAUAAUAAUAAAAAUUGAAUUUUGAAAUUUUUAUAAUUUAUAUUGUUAAUAAAUUAUAAUUUACUAUAAAUAAUUUCAAAUAUAAUAAAAUUUAAUAAAAUAAUUUAUUUUUUUUUUAUGAAAAAAAAUUUUAAAAUAAUAAUAAAAAUUAAUAUAAUGAUAAAAUUAGUAUAUAAAAUAAAUUAAAAUUAAUAUGAUUAAUUUAAUAAAGUUAUUUAUAAGGAAUUCGGCAAAUAAAAUUUGUAAAUAAAAAUACUCACUUGUUUAUCAAAAACAUGUCUUUUUGUAAAUAAUAUAAAGUCUAAUCUGCCCACUGAUAAAAAUUAAAGGGCUGCAGUAUAUUGACUGUACAAAGGUAGCAUAAUCAUUAGUCAUUUAAUUGAUGACUUGUAUGAAAGAUUGGAUGAAGUAUUAGCUGUCUUAAAAAUAAAUUAUAGAAUUUAAUUUUUAAAUUAAAAAGUUUAAAUAUAAUAAAAAGACGAGAAGACCCUAUAGAGUUUUAUAAUUAAUAUUUUUAUAGAAAAUAAAUAAAUUAAAUGUUUUUAAAUUUAUUAAUUAUUUUAUUGGGGUGAUAAAAAAAUAAAAAUAACUUUUUUUAUUAAUUUUCAUAAAUAAGUGAAUAAAUGAUCCAAUUUUAUUGAUUAUAAGAAAAAAUUACCUUAGGGAUAACAGCGUUAUUUAUUUUUUUAGUUCAUAUAAAAAUUUAAGUUUGCGACCUCGAUGUUGGAUUAAGAUAAAAAUUAAAUGUAGAAGUUUAAAUUUUUGAUCUGUUCGAUCAUUAAAAUCUUACAUGAUCUGAGUUCAGACCGGUGUAAGCCAGGUUGGUUUCUAUCUUUUAUAAGAUAAAAUAUUUUAGUACGAAAGGAUUGAAUAUUUAAAUUAAAUUUAUUUUUUUUGAAUUUUAUUAAAUAAUAUAUAUAUAUAUAUAAUAAAUAUAAUAU